rnacentral:rRNA from 1 species
GAGGAAUAUUGGUCAAUGGGCGUAAGCCUGAACCAGCCAUCCCGCGUGAAGGAAGAAAGCGCUAUGCGUUGUAAACUUCUUUUCCAGAGGAAUAAAAUUUUGUACGAGUACGGAACUGAAGGUACUCUGGGAAUAAGCAUCGGCUAACUCCGUGCCAGCAGCCGCGGUAAUACGGAGGAUGCGAGCGUUAUCCGGAUUUAUUGGGUUUAAAGGGUGCGUAGGCGGAUUAAUAAGUCAGUGGUGAAAACCUUCAGCUUAACUGGAGACUUGCCAUUGAUACUGUUAGUCUUGAGUACGGUCAAGGUAGGCGGAAUGUGUAAUGUAGCGGUGAAAUGCUUAGAUAUUACACAGAACACCGAUUGCGAAGGCAGCUUACUGGGCCAUUACUGACGCUGAUGCACGAAAGCGUGGGGAGCGAAC